AUUGAACGCUGGCGGCAGGCCUAACACAUGCAAGUCGAGCGGAUGAAGGGAGCUUGCUCCUGGAUUCAGCGGCGGACGGGUGAGUAAUGCCUAGGAAUCUGCCGGGUAGUGGGGGAUAACGUCCGGAAACGGGCGCUAAUACCGCAUACGACCUGAGGGAGAAAGUGGGGGAUCUUCGGACCUCACGCGAUCAGAUGAGCCUAGGUCGGAUUAGCUAGUUGGUGGGGUAAAGGCCUACCAAGGCGACGAUCCGUAACUGGUCUGAGAGGAUGAUCAGUCACACUGGAACUGAGACACGGUCCAGACUCCUACGGGAGGCAGCAGUGGGGAAUAUUGGACAAUGGGCGAAAGCCUGAUCCAGCCAUGCCGCGUGUGUGAAGAAGGUCUUCGGAUUGUAAAGCACUUUAAGUUGGGAGGAAGGGCAGUAAGUUAAUACCUUGCUGUUUUGACGUUACCAACAGAAUAAGCACCGGCUAACUUCGUG
rnacentral:rRNA from 1 species